AGUAAAUAUAUAAAACUAUCCACUUUCAUAUUGUAAAGAUAAAAAUUGUCCACUAAGAUAAAAAUAAUAAAAACUGUCCACUUUUUGAUUGAAAAGACGGAAAUAACCCUCACUUUAAAAUAAUAAAAAAUAUCCACUCACUUCUAUCCCUCUCUCCUCUCUCUCUCUUCACCUUCACGUCACUCUCUCUCUAUCUCACUACCGCCACCACCUCUCCCUCGUAGCAUCCUCCGCCGCCGCCGCCUCCACCAUCUCUCUCGGCGUCGGAAAUCCGCGCCACCAGAAGC
rnacentral:lncRNA from 1 species